rnacentral:rRNA from 1 species
UGCAAGUCGAGGGGCAUCACGUGUAGCAAUACAUGGUGGCGACCGGCGGAAGGGUGCGUAACGCGUGAGCAACAUGCCCGUAUCAGGGGGAUAAACCAGGGAAACUUGGUCUAAUACCGCAUAAUAAGUUUCUAAGGCAUCUUAGGGAUUUUAAAGUUUUGGUGGAUACGGAUUGGCUCGCGUGACAUUAGCUAGAUGGUAAGGUAACGGCUUACCAUGGCAACGAUGUCUAGGGGUUCUGAGAGGAAGAUCCCCCACACUGGAACUGAGACACGGUCCAGACUCCUACGGGAGGCAGCAGUGAGGAAUAUUGGACAAUGGAUGGAAAUCUGAUCCAGCCAUGCCGCGUGCAGGAAGACAGCCCUAUGGGUUUUAAACUGCUUUUAUACGGGAGCAAUAAGGACUAUGCGUAGUUUGAUGAGAGUACCGUACGAAUAAGCACCGGCUAACUCCGUGCCAGCAGCCGCGGUAAUACGGAGGGUGCAAGCGUUAUCCGGAUUUAUUGGGUUUAAAGGGUGCGUAGGCGGUUUUAUAAGUCAGCGGUGAAAUUUUUCAGCUUAACUGGAACAAUGCCGUUGAUACUGUAAAGCUGGAAUAUGGUUGCUGUGGGUGGAAUGUGUGGUGUAGCGGUGAAAUGCUUAGAUAUCACACAGAAUAUCGAUUGCGAAGGCAGCUCACAAAUCCAUUAUUGACGCUGAUGCACGAAAGUGUGGGG